rnacentral:rRNA from 1 species
GCAUAUCAAUAAGCGGAGGAAAAGAAACCAACAGGGAUUGCCUCAGUAACGGCGAGUGAAGCGGCAACAGCUCAAAUUUGAAAUCUGGCCUCUUCGGGGUCCGAGUUGUAAUUUGUAGAGGAUGCUUUUGAGCAGCCACCGGUCUAAGUUCCUUGGAACAGGACGUCACAGAGGGUGAGAAUCCCGUACGUGGCCGGAAGGGCACUCUUUGUAAAGCUCCUUCGACGAGUCGGGUUGUUUGGGAAUGCAGCCCUAAUUGGGAGGUAAAUUUCUUCUAAAGCUAAAUACCGGCCAGAGACCGAUAGCGCACAAGUAGAGUGAUCGAAAGAUGAAAAGCACUUUGGAAAGAGAGUUAAAAAGCACGUGAAAUUGUUGAAAGGGAAGCGCUUGCAAUCAGUCUCGACGGCGGCUGUUCGGUCGAUCUUCUGAUCGAUUUACUCAGUCGCCGCCGGGCCAGCAUCAGUUUGGGCGGCCGGAUAAAGGUCCUCGGAAUGUAGCUCCCCCGGGAGUGUUAUAGCCUUGGACGUAAUACGGCCAGCCCGGACUGAGGUCCGCGCUUCGGCUAGGAUGCUGGCAAAAUGGUUGUAAGCGGCCCGUCUUGAAACACGGACCAAGGAGUCUAACAUCUAUGCGAGUGUUUGGGUGUCAAACCCGUGCGCGUAAUGAAAGUGAACGGAGGUGGGAACCUUUUAGGUGCACCAUCGACCGAUCCUGAUGUCUUCGGAUGGAUUUGAGUAAGAGCAUAGCUGUUGGGACCCGAAAGAUGGUGAACUAUGCCUGAAUAGGGUGAAGCCAGAGGAAACUCUGGUGGAGGCUCGCAGCGGUUCUGACGUGCAAAUCGAUCGUCAAAUUUGGGUAUAGGGGCGAAAGACUAAUCGAACCAUCUAGUAGCUGGUUC